GAUGAACGCUAGCGAUAGGCCUAACACAUGCAAGUCGAGGGGCAUCACAUGAAGUAGCAAUACGGAUGGUGGCGACCGGCGCACGGGUGAGUAACACGUAUGCAACCUGCCUUCAACAAGGGGAUAACCCGUUGAAAGACGGACUAAUACCCUAUAACACAGGGGUCCCGCAUGGGAAUAUUUGUUAAAGGACAACCGGUUGAAGAUGGGCAUGCGUUCCAUUAGCUAGUUGGCGGGUAACGGCCCACAAGGCAACGAUGGAUAGGGGAACUGAGAGGUUUAUCCCCCACACUGGUACUGAGACACGGACCAGACUCCUACGGGAGGCAGCAGUGAGGAAUAUUGGUCAAUGGACGCAAGUCUGAACCAGCCACGUCGCGUGAAGGAAGACGGCCCUACGGGUUGUAAA
rnacentral:rRNA from 1 species